CCCUGCUGCGGUGGCAUCACACGCUGCUGACCGUAGUUUUCCACGGGAACCAUGACUCGACCUUGAAUCGGCAGAAGGAAAAACCAAUCAAUAUUUAGUUCUGCAGGCGACAAAAUUUUGUCGACUGAUAACAGCGGAGACAGAUUUAUCCGCUGGAAAAAUUGGUGGGUGGCAAAAAAUCUUCCUCAUAUUCAACGAUUUUCAUCUGUAUCAUCGUCUCAGUGAUGAGUAUUAUUUUUGGUAUUUUGUGUUCGACCCCACCAACCUUACCGAACGAUUUUCACUGUGAGAUGCAGAAAACAAUCAUGUGUCGCUACAAAUAAUAACGAAAUUAUAAAAACGAACAGAGACGGUGUAGGAAUAUAUUCGUGCGCGCGUCAUCGACAGGAAUAUUAUAAAUUGUCCGCGAUGUGGUACAGAGGCAAAAAAUAGAAGGUUGCCAAAUUUUACAAGUACAUAUGGAAAAAGUGUUUCAACGGCGAUGUACAGACAUGGAUAUCCAUGCAAUCUUCGGCUGAAUCCCGUUCUUCAAUAUCCUCCAGAAUAUCAUUUUUUCGAAGAGAAGAUACCUACGCAAGCUCACGCACUUAUGUGCAGGUGUACAUGAUUCGUAUAAUCCGACCCCCGCAUGCGUAUCGCCUGUUUUCAACAAGAAUUUGCACGAUGCUGUAUAUCUCUGUAUUUCACACUGGCACGAGAUCAAGAAAUGCCUGAUCCCAAAAACCCAAAUGUUAUUUCUACUAGCUGCAGUUUUCGUGCUUAAGGGAACAAAAUUCGACGACAAGAAAUCCAUGUACCGUAUGCAAAUAGGCGCAAAAGACUGGCGCGCCGUAAUCAAACGUAGAUGUACGAUUAGAGGAAAAAAGUUUGAGAAAACGGAAAUAUGCGGUCCGCCUUCUAAAAAUAAUCGUUCUUCGUCCUGUGGAUGGAACCGCACGUUCGCGGUUGAAUAUGUUUGGACAUGGAGUAGAAAACUCCAUCCUAUUACACGUACUUUCGAAAGCUUUCCGGAGCGCAUACGUUUCCAAUAAAAAAGUUGUCGAUCGUGCUUUAUUUUCAUAAAUACAAAACUCUAGAGAGUACGUACUUUCGCGCAAUUACCCCGCAUCAUCGCGCCCAUCAUUCGGCAACCCCAUGCCAUUUUGUCGCCCCAUGUAAAUCGAUUCCUGCAGAUCUAACAAAACCAAACUGACUACGAUUACGUCAUUUCUAGAGCUGACCUUGACCCGGUAAGGUAUCGAUUGGAUUACUGGAUGUCUCGUCUCGUCAAUAAAUAUAUUUUCUCUCCCGCAUCUCUUUCUCCUCCCCUUUCCCUCAUCCCUCGCACCGAGAAUUGUUUAAAUAAUUUCAGAAAUCCGCGCGCGCAUGCACCACCAGUUGAUCUCUAUUACAAAUCCAUUAUUGUUAUUCAGCCACACCGUUAAUGGAAAAAAAAAAAAAAAAACCACCAGAUCAAGCAAAUAAUGACGAUAAUUACUCAGGAAUAGAAACGAUCGUUUGAAUU